rnacentral:lncRNA from 1 species
AAAAGUUUGGUGAAUGUGUACAUUUUCCUGUUUCAAAAACAAGCUGUUCAGUUACUACUCUGCCCCUCAGCAACUGCCAGCAGCAGAAGCUUUGCCUCUGUGGGCGCAUAGGCCAUGUGAACACUGCUUGGAUUGGUUUUCCAGCUAUUUUCUAUGAGGGAGAACUGCCCCAAUGAAAUCACAGGAUUUCAUAGCAUAAAUUAUAACAGAACAAAGUGAAUGGACCAUCCUGGGGUGCUCAAAUGUGAGUCCGUUCAGUCGGAACUUGUGAGUCUGCUCUAGUCUCCAUCCCAAUGAGUCUCUGACGCCAGAUGGCUUACUUCCGCACGUGAGACUAGAUGACAGAUGACGCUAAAGCAAAAAAGCAAGCUGUAAAUAAAUCAUCAUAACGGUCAUGGGAGCCUAGAACCUGAUAAACUACAUCCAGCGAGUCAAAGAACAGAGGCCGGGGGAUACACAAGCUAGAACCAAAGAUGUUUAUAACUAACCUAAGAUAGACCACAGGCUGUCAUUUCCAAUGGGAACAAAUGAGUCAUAGUGGGCAGAACAAGCAAGGAGGGGGGCAGAGCCAAGCACCAGCUAGCAAGAUCCUAUUGGCGCAUUUUAGCAUGUAUUUGCAUAUUUCCAUUAGGAAAACGCCUACUCUGUGAAGUGCGGGUGUGCAAUAACUCAAUUUGCCCUCAUACUUCUUCUAAACAAUGCCAUUUUUGGAAACUUUGGAAAAGGGUAAAGUCCACAAAAUGUAGUCCACUCUGUUCAUAAUAGUUUCUAGCUUUGGGAACAGAAAACUGUAUUGCGAUCAAAUCUUUCAUCGAUGAGAACAUUUGCAGAAUGUAGGCCAAAAUCCAUCUUGUUCCAUCUUCUCCCACUGCCAGCCACUGGGCUUCCUCUCACCACCAUAUGUGGUAGUGAGUGGAAACGCCAAGCAGAUGCUUCACAUUUAUACAGCCGGUGAAAUAUCCGUCUCAUUGUUUUAUCUGUGCUAGAACAUUUUCAUUGCAGAUCUAGCAGGACAAAAAAGCAUGGACAAUUUUGUUUCGCCCCAUGUUGUACAUCAAGUUCUAAUGUAGGUGACAGGGUGACAUGUUGUGUGACUAAAACAGCAUAAAACCGGGUGCAUCACAAAGCAUAAUCAAAUUAAUUAGUCAGUUACAGUAAUUUUGAGCUAGUUGGUACCUUGCUAGCUAAUUAGCUCCCAUGCCAAUUUCAAGUCUUUCUAAACUAAUAUCUGACUAAUAUCUGACUAACUCGGAAAAAGUUAUUUCAGAAUGAAAGUUUACUGACUAGCGCAUCAUGCUUUGUGACAUUAUGUUAGCUAGCUAUCCCCAAUAAGAUAAUGUUUUCACUUAUUGCAUCUGCAUGCUUGUUGCGUUCUCCCUGGUUUCUACUAGUUAUCACAGCCACAAAGUCAAAAUUGGCUAUAUUGUUCAUGAAAACAAAAAUGCAUUUAAGAUUGGGCAUAAGGUUGGCAGUGUGGUUAAUGUUAGGGGUAAGGUAAGGUUCAAAAUCACAUUUUAAGAAGAUAAAUUGUAGAUAUAGGCAGACUUUAUGAAUUUCUAGCUGUGGUAACAAGUGACGACCAUUCACCCUGCGCUGCUUGUUCUAAAUCUGUUCAAAACAGUGGCAGCAUGUGCAGCAGUGGUCACUCGGUUUUUGACAUGCAAAAGUGAAAUAGAUGUAUUUAUGCUGUUGUUCAAAUGCAGAGAUCAUUUUCCUUUACUGACACGCUACAGGGGGGGAAAUGACAACACACAAUUAGAAUUCACUAGAAUUAUGAACACUAAACACUCACACAAAUAAUAAACAGGGGAAAAUUCCCAAAGGAGAAUGUAAAAUUCUGAGGACUCUAUUAACUCAUUAUGUUCUAUUUUAGAUUGGGGUCAAGGGGGUCUGACAUCAGUAGAGCGCAAUAGGAGGCCUUAGCUGGCUAGGACCCCUAACCUCCAAAGGGCCCUGAGGCUCUCAAUAUCGUUCCCACUGCCUGGUAGCCAAUGGGCAGAGGCCAUGAUCAUCUUACCCCAAUUCUCUCACUCUGUCCAAAUGCCUGCAAUUAACAUGUUGGCCA